UUGAAGGAAGACUGGACCGGGGUGCCAACUUGUUCUCCUCGUACAAAGCAAUAUGCCGGAUUGAUUGUACACCCGAGGACAAGCUGGAGCGCAUUUCAACGCUUAAAAACGAGCUUGAGCAAGGCGAAGUAACCCAGGUGAUUACGCUGACUGAAGGCACCACUUCUAUUCAGACCAGCCAGACGGGAGGAACUUCUAGUACUACAAUUUCCGCCAAGGUUGGUUUAAAUCUGAAAGAGAAAUUCUCAGCUGAACUUGGUGUCUCCCAUACGACCUCUUUUAAUUGGGCUCAGAGUUCCAGCAGCUCUUUUUCUCGACAAAUCUCACACGAAGCUCGAAUACCGGUGC